ACUGGCGUCCAGGCGUGAACUGGUCAACUUACAAAUAUGGUCAGCCAUCUCAGAGGCCUUCUCAGGCGGAUGCUGGCAGGGACGGUUUUAUCGAUCAGCUCAUCGAUACUCUGGAAAAGGACAUCCAUUAAUUGGGGAUUCCCCUCCUUCUCAUCCUUACUGCAGAAAGCAGCAGCAAGCUUUAAUGUGCUUUCAUCUCACCGGGGCUUUGCAGGAACUAUGAGACAUACAGAUAUCAACUCCCUUCUUUGAAGCCCAACUCAAAUGCCUGCCUACAGACUGCCUCCAAACGUCUUUCUAACAGUUUUCCCAGUCAUCAGUUUACCCUCCUCAUUCUUGCAUUCCCCACUCUAAUCAGACAUGUAAUUCGGGAGUUCCCCUACUAUGACAACUCUUGAUGUCACCUCUAGAUUAUUUGAGGGUGGUAAAGACCAUCUGUAUCUACUCAAACAAUUUGCAUUGUUAAAUUGCAGCAUUUCCUGUGCGCUUGUUUAAUCCUGUAAAAUAUUGCUAGAAGGUUUAUCUUUUGAUUUUGUAUUUAGACAGCAUCCUCUUCCUUAGACUCUAAAACAUGCUUAUUAAUUAAAAAGCUAUGUAGGUACAUAGGUAAACCUAGCUAUAGUUUUGAGAAAUAUUGUCAAGGUCCCCUCCACAAAAAUAUAAAUGGAUCAUGAACUGAGACAUUGCAUUCCACAUUCUUUAUGAAAAUAUGUUUAUGAUAUGAAUGACAUAACUGAGAUAUACUUUAUGGAAGAUGGCUCAUGUGAGAUAUCAUUGGAAAGGUUAUGAUUUACUGAAUGCAGUUAUCCAAUUUGUAUGCUUGAAUCAUUUCUGUAUCUGAAGUUAGGAAUAUUGACUAUGUAUCUGUAUUUCAACUAUGCUACUUUGGGUUAUGCCCACUGAUAACACUUCAGGUACAACAAUGGAAAAGCCAGACCGGGUGGAUGGCCUAUCAGCAAGGACAAUGGACUAUAAAAGAGCUUAGUCUUCCUGUGAACAUGUGGGUCAGCCUGUGAGAAUGGCUACAGGGGCCCUAUCGAGGCAUUUUACCAUGUCACCUGAUACCGGAACCCAUCUUGAAUUCUGUACUUUUCCAUGAGAAAGUUGGAGGGUGGGGGUCAAACUAGGAAACAAAGGACUCCCGCCUUAUGCAAAUCCUAUUUAAGGGUGGGGAGUGAGGUAAUCUUGGUUGUCAGUUCUCCCCUGCUACCCCACCCAAGAUGACUGCUGGAAACAACUAAGACUGAACUGGGGGAAAGAACUGGACCCAGGCUGAAGGGCAUCUGGCCUGUGAAGAAGAUUAUUAGAAUCACAUUUAGGGUGAGAAUUUACAUGUAAUUAGUUUCCUUAGUGUAUUAAGCUUAGUUUGCAAGCUCUGUUUUAUUUUCUUAGUAAUUUGCCUUGUUCUGUCUGCUACCUCCUAACUACUUAAAAUAGACCUGUUAUAGUUAAUAAAUGUAUUUCUGGUUUACAGUA